rnacentral:ncRNA from 1 species
CCAUGCAUGCCUAAAUACAUGCCGUAUUAAGACGAAACUGCUAAUGGCUCAUUAAACAAAUUAUGGUUUCUUGGGUCGUACCUUACUACUUGGAUAACUGGCAAUUCUGGAGCAAAUACAUGCAGCAGAGCUCGGAACUUCUGGGGACGAACGCUUUUAUUAGACCAAAACCAAUCCGACUUCGUAUCCAUAUUAUGAUCUGUGAUGUCGAUAUUUUGUGAUUAUGUAUAACUUUGGGGUAAUCGCACGGGCUUGUCCCGGCGUUUGGAUGCAAGGAAAGUGAGGAUCUUUCAAGUGUCUGCCUUAUCAGCUACCGGUGGUAGGUUGCGCGCCUAACCGUGGUCGUAACGAGCAAUCAGGGUUCAAUCCGGAGAGGGAGCCUGUGAAACGAACCCAGUAAGUUAAUAAUAGG